CCUACGGGAGGCAGCAGUAGGGAAUUUUCCACAAUGGACGAAAGCCUGAUGGAGCAACGCCGCGUGAGUGAAGAAGGGUUUCUGCUCGUAAAGCCUUGUUGGUAGUGAAGAAAGAUAGAGGUAGUAACUGGCCAUUAUUUGACGGUAAUUACUUAGAAAGUGACGGCUAACUACGUGCCAGCAGCCGCGGUAAUACGUAGGUGGCAAGCGUUGUCCGGAUUUAUUGGGCUUAAAGCGAGGGCAGGCGGUACAAUAAGUCUAAUGUGAAAGCCUACGGCCUAAACCGAGAAUUGCAUCAGAAACUGUUGGACUUGAGUGCAGAAGAGGAGAGUGGAACUCCAGGUGUAGCGGUGGAAUGCGUAGAUAUAUGGAAGAACACCAGUGGCGAAGGCGGCUCUCUGGUCUGCAACUGACGCUGAGGCUCGAAAGCAUGGGUAGCGAACAGGAUUAGAUACCCCAGUAGUC
rnacentral:rRNA from 1 species